rnacentral:rRNA from 1 species
UACGUAGGGGGCAAGCGUUGUCCGGAUUUAUUGGGCGUAAAGAGCGUGUAGGCGGCCUUACAGGUCAGCUGUGAAAACUCGAGGCUCAACCUCGAGACGUCGGUUGAAACCGUAAGGCUAGAGUCCGGAAGAGGAGAGUGGAAUUCCCGGUGUAGCGGUGAAAUGCGCAGAUAUCGGGAAGAACACCCGUGGCGAAGGCGGCUCUCUGGGACGGUACUGACGCUGAGACGCG